AAUACAUUACUUCUAUUAGGCUUCUGUUAAACCAAACCUUGACACUUCAUUAUAUUCCAUCCAAACACCUGAAGCACCACAGCCAUUAAGUGAAACAUAAUGUAGGUGGAGAAAAUGAUUAAAAUCAGGAGGACGUUGAUCACCCUGAAGGACUUUUUGUUGCUCUAAAUCCCUGUGCAUUGUUCAGCUUAUUGCAUAAAAUCCCUAAAUCAUUAAUUUUACAACAAAUAGUGAUUUAAAAUUGUUCUCCUGGUUCUAAUCAGAUUUUAGACUAUAUACUAGAUCCUCCUGAGACCCAGCAUUGCAUUUUUGUCCUCCAUAGUGGACAAGAGUUUCACUGCUUUACUU